GCGCUUAUAGCUCAGCUGGAUAGAGUACUGCCCUCCGAAGGCAGGGGUCGUGGGUUCGAAUCCCGCUAAGCGCGCCA
rnacentral:tRNA from 1 species